UGUACCCCUUCCCAGACCUCAUUUAAGGGUUGGCAAUGGAGUUAAGGGUGUCUUGCUGGAGAUUGCUGUGUAUCUGAGGUUUUCUAAAGGAUGUGCUGUCUCCUGAAAAGACAUUCAGUAGGAACAUACGGAUGACUGGCAAAUACCAUAUUUUUAGUGACUUCCUGUUUAGAGACAACUACAUUUGUAGCAUUUCUUCCAAGCUCCCUCCUGUCUGCAGUCCAGGUCUAGAAAUAUCUUAGUCCUGAAGAGAUUGUGGAGUAGAAUGAAAUCAGGAUUGUAGCAGAAGGUGAUCUACUUUCAGUGACAUUCUGAGGAAGGAUGUUUUUAACCUUGGAGGUUGCUUUGCACCAGGAGUGGGGAGAAUAAAAGGAGCCUAGAAACAAAAGGCACAGAAGAAGAUUAUUAUUGAUUUGCAUUAUGGGAGCCACUUCAAGCAGACACAGGAAGUUUUUCAAGGAUCAUGUGCUGGCUUGUAUUUUUCUUUCCCAAAUGGGAGGUUAACCGCUUGAAAUUUCCUGAGAGCUGGAAAAGCAACAUUUCAAAAACAUAAGAUGUUAGUGCUAAGGUUGUUUUUUUUUUUUUUAACGUCUUCUGUGAAUCCUUUGUCAUUGGUUCUGCAUUUCUCGUAGCCUAAACUCAGCAGGUCCCUGUCCUUGAUAUUUUCCGCAUACUCUAUUCUAGGUGUUGCAUGUCUCACAUUACUUGGAAUAUGUCUUGUGUUCAAAAUUGUUAAUUCUGAUUCGGAACAUUUUAAUGAAUGUUAUUCUCUCAUGAUUGUUAUUCUGUGUAAUGAAACCAAGAGCAUAAAGACUUCGGUCUGUGUGUAUGAGGCAGCAUUAACAGGGGAUGAUAUUUAUAAUGUAAUGAAAUCUUUUGCUCAAGACUAUGUAAUAUAUGAUAAGGGAGCCCUAAUGAGAGCCCAGGGUUUAAAUGAUGCAACUGUACUUCUCCAACUCUGCUGACAAGCUGUGCAUGCUCCUUGUGUUUGGUCUUGUACAGCUUCAACAGCUCCACUUCACAUCUUCUCUUAAUUGAUGUUGGCAGCUUGGCAUUCUUGUCUCCUAUGCGCUCUCUAUUUCCAAUAUUUUUAUUUAAAGUUUCAACCUGGAAAUAAGCUUCAAUUCAGUGGUCUCAUUAGCAAAAAUUUUAGCAUGCUCAACUUCACAUGACUAGUAUGAAUCAAAUCUCGUAUCUUCCAAAGAAAAAUACACUGAAAACGUUUCUGCCUUUAGGAAUUUGUAAUAACUGACUACUAAUUUUAUAUAGCUUGAUUUUAAUCAAAAUAAUGGAA